rfam:Danio rerio chromosome 4, GRCz11 reference primary assembly.
GGCCGGUCAGCUUAGCUGGUUAGAGCGUGGUGCUAAUAACGCCAAGGUCGUGGGUUCGAUCCCCGUACUGGCCA